rnacentral:lncRNA from 1 species
GAGAAUUAGAGCGUGGAGUGGUUCCCAGAACCUAGUAGAUCUCUAGCUGUAGGGUCCGCCUGCUUUGGUAGAAGAGCACAGCCAUUGCCAACAUGAGGUCUGGUGGGAAGGGAGCUGGGGAAACAAAUACCCUGACCACACUCUCAUCCUGCCUUCCAAUUCCCUCCCUUGCUUGCCAUUGGUCAAAUCCAACCAGAAGUCAGAGGGCAUGGAAGGUUGGUGAUGCAGUACUCAGAUAUCAGCCUGCAGGGCCACAGAGCAGAUGGGCAGGGUGGCAGCUGUGUCUGGAGGGCAGACAGAGACUGUUCAACAACACUUCUAAUCUUACCACAGACUAAUUUAUCCUCCCAAGAAGUAGGAAUGGAGUUCUCCUAAAGAUGUGGAAUCUGAGUUUGCACAGAGAGACUACAGGACUUGGAGGAGAAUAUGUAGGUGGAAGACAGCAGCGGCCAGUAUUGAAGCAGAGCCACCACCAUCAAUUCUGAUUAUUUUCCCAUUCUGUCACACAAUUGGAGAGGUCCUGCUGAGGAUCCCUGGUGCCCAGUAGGGAACACCGUGAGGAGGAGGAUUAAGAAAGGCACCCUUUCCACUGAUUUGCAUCGCCAUUUGUACAUGGAGUUUGGCUACAGCAAAAUCCGUUGCUAUCUCACCAGCUACAAGAAGCAAAGAACGAAUUGCAAUUCAUUUUUGUGCUCUAGGACCCGGUUGAGGCAAUAUUUAAAUGAUCCAGCUUCGACACAUGCUCACCACAUUUGGAAAAAUCGAGGAGUGUUAUUUAGAUCCUGCCGGAGUUCCAGAACACACCCUUCAAAGUGCUAAUGCUGUUCCAGCUCAGCAGACACCUCGUCUCGGGAAAGCCAUUAGAAACCCCCAAAAUACUACAUUUUUCUCCUGAGCUUUGAACCCUGAACCCAGCAUUCUGAGAGUGGGAACCAGAAAUGUGCAUUUGAAAAGACUCCCCAGGCAAUUCUGAUGAGGAGCCAGUGAGCCUGCUGAACCAGGUGACUACUGACAUCUCUUCUUUGAGUGACUUUCGACCAUCCCACAAAUGUCUGCUCGACGGUGUCCUGGAAGAGCUGGGUCAUGGCUCUCAUUACACACUACUCAGCAUCAUACACCAGGUUGUAUCACACAUCUCAUUCACACUACUGAGCAUCAUACACCAGGCUGUAUCACACUUUGUCCGGACUUCAUGAGUCUUCCAGUACAGUGAUGGGACGUAGGUUUUCUAGACUUGCCUAUGGGCUUCUCCUCUUUCCUAAUGAAGCUUCCACUCAUCCAAACGUCCUUUGAGGAGGAAAUUUAUCCAACUCACUCCACUGCAAAAGCUGGAGAACUGACAAGAUUCUUCCUGACCACUUCAGUGGCUAUGAUUAUAGGCAGUAUUGUGGUUUUCAUUUGCAAAAUGAGGAAUAAAGCUGCAGACAUUUCCAGUACUAGAAAUGGUCUGUUUGUAGCAUGAAGGUGCAUAUUCAUUUCUUUUUCUUUUUUCCUGACCCUUAAUCAUUUAUUACAUUUUUCUCCUGUUAAACAAGCUAUAUAGGCUGAAUACAAAGAAGUUUGAAAACACAGAAAGGUAAAAAAAUUAAAUUAAAUUAAGAUCAUCUGAAAUGUUAACUUCAAGAGAAAGUUAACAACUGUGAGCAUUCUGGUUUGUAUAUUCUUGCAGUCUUAUUUAAUUAAUUGCAUUUAUGUACUUUAAAAAAAGUAGAAUUAUAUUGUAUAUAUGGCUUUGAUUUCUUAAAAAUUAACAUUGUGAACAUGUGCAAGGAGUGUUUCUUAAAUUGCUCUUUCCAUUGUCACUUUUACUGGAGAUUAAAGUCUCAAAGUACAUUUUUUGACUUAGCAGAGGGAGAGCUGAGAUGUCUCAUUAAAGCUUGGCCGAGCGCCUUCUGUUACUGCUUAUUUACAUAAGUAGCUUUCCUAAAAUCAACGGCUCCCAUGAACAAGACAUAUAUAUUAAUGCCUCACAGUCCAAUAUAUGAUGAGAUAAAUGACCACUGCUUCCUUAUAUAAUGCGCACACACUUGCCUGAGACAAGUCAGCUGUUCUGAAACACAAGAUUAGGAAAUUCAAUUUCAUGUAUACAUUUCCAUGAAUCAAAAGUCAAAAUCAAAGGACAACCUUCUGUGUUACAGUGAACUCUGGAAGUAAGUGUAAAUAAGAUAAUAAGAUAUGCCCUACUUUGUUGUCAUCUUUUUUUUUUUUUUUGCUUUUUGUUUUUUGUUUGUUUUGAGAUGGAGUCUCACUCCGUCACCCAGGCUGGAGUGAAGUGGUGCAAUCUCGGCCCACUGCAACCUCCACCUCCUGGGUUCAAGCAAUUCUCAUGCCUCAGCCUCCCAAGUAGCUGUGAUUACAGGCGUGUGCCACCACGCCUAGCUAAUUUUUUGUAUUUUUACUAGAGACAGGGUUUCACCAUGUUGGCCAGGCUGGUCUUGAACUCUUAACCUCAGGUGAUCUGCCUGCUUCAGCCUCCCAAAGUGCUGAGAUUACAGGUGUGAGCCACUACACCUGGCCAGCUAUGCCCCACUUUGAACAAACAUUGCUAGAAUCUGGAAGAAUCUUCUGUUAGCCAAGGAUUGCUUUUGAGGUUCACUCCAAAAACUGAGCUACCACCGGGGACAAAUGGUCUCAUAAUUUUGAGUGUGUAAAGUGCAGCGAUUCCAGCUCAUGAGCACUAAUAUAAUUUUGGAAACAAUAUACCCACAACAGGCAUCGUCUAGAAAACUAACAGGAUCUCUUUUCCACUAGAGUGUAUUGUUGUUGACUAAGUGUUUUCAGUUAUUAAGCUGGAAGAGACAUGCUGGGGAGAAUGCUUUGGAGGAACAAGUAAGCACAGAACACAGAGAAUCAGGAAUGAAGCAUCCACACAGUCCAUCCAAGCAUACUGUGAAUCAAAACACAUGUCAUAGCUGGAACGAAAGCAUUAGGACCAUCUAACUGGAUUCCACUGGAAUGAGUCUCUGUGAAACCAUGCCGAAGUCUUUGUAAACAACCACCCUAAAGAAAGCUACAUGAAGAAUAGCCAAUAACAAAAGCACUGGAUUUAACUCAAUUUUGUGAAAAAACAAAAAAAACAAAUAUGAUGCACACACUCUAUCCUUUUGUGAACAAAAUGCCACCAAACAUUUGAAACUGGCCUAAGCAUACAUUGACAUGUUUGACAUGAAGCCCAGCCUUAUUGAUCAGCCUUUCCAAUACCCCCCGCCCCCCAUUCUUUAUUCCCAAUAGAUACAUCUUCUCACAGGUAAUUGGGCAGAAAAAUGCUUAUUGACUGAUCUUGAAAACUUCAAUGCAUCUAAAGCUGGAGAACAUUCAAAAACCAUGCUUCUCUUUAUUUAUUUCAGUUUCCAUGGCAAGAGGAAAAUAAAAGGCAACUGUUUUGAAAGCAACAACAGUAAACGAAGCAACAUCUCUGGCAAGCAGGCAAACCUUAAAGAGUAAAAGUUAUAAAUCCCCAUGUAGACAAUACCUUGUAGGUAUACCUUCCCCCAACCACGGGGAUGACUCUUAAUGGUGCUGACUAGGUAUAGACACCAACUUGGGACCAGUAAGUUAUUCUUAGAAGGUGCUAACUUUUGUAUUUUCUUUUAGGUUCUUGCUGCUAUGUUUCUCUUUCAAUUGACUUCCAGAAAUCAGACAGUGAAAUCAAUGGGGCUUUCCAGGCCACUGAAUUCAAAGUAAUCAGGGCAGGGUCAGAAUGCUGAUUGACUGUUUUCAACACACAGGGACCUGGAAUUUGGGUUCUAGCUCUAUCCCUCAGCACAGAGUCAGCAGACACAAUGCCCUAGAUGGUUGGAUUUUCUAGUGUCUGUGACAGGCAUCUUCAAAGCUGAUUCCUCUCCCUCUGAGAAAUCAAGGCCACCACCUUUAACUACUGACACAGUAGUGUACUUCCCGUACUGCAACCUCAGUCCCUUUUGUCACUUUUGCUUUGCAUUCAAGUGCCUUGGCCAGUGUUAACUGCAGCACUUUGAUUUCUCUUUCUAUAAAGACUAUCAAGUACCAAGUCAUUUGUUUCUGCAACCAUGUAACCCAAGGACAUAUUCUCCUGGAUGAAAUUCCAAGACCCCCCCCGCCACCAGAAGUCAGUGGAGAAUAGGCACAGAAAAGAUGAUGAAGGUCAUAGUUUCUAAUAAUUUGUUUUCUUUUUAAAAAAAAUUUUUAAUUUUUAUUUUUUUGAGACAGAAUCUCACUCCGUCACCCAGGCUGGGGUAUGGUGGCAUGAUCUCGGCUCACAGCAACCUCUGCCUUCCAGGUUUAAGUGAUUCUCCUGCCUCAGCCUCCUGAGUAGCUGGGAUUACAGCCGCAUGCCACCACGCCCAGCUAAUCGUUUGUAUUUUUAGUAGACACGGGGUUUCACCAUGUUGGCCAGACUGGUCUCGAACUCCUGACCUCAAGCGAUCUACCUGCCUUGGCCUUCCAGAGUGCUGGGAUUACAGGCAUGAGCCACCAAGCCCA